rnacentral:rRNA from 1 species
UACGUAGGGUGCAAGCGUUAAUCGGAAUUACUGGGCGUGAAGCGUGCGCAGGCGGUUUUGUAAGUCUGUCGUGAAAGCCCCGGGCUUAACCUGGGAAUUGCGAUGGAGACUGCAAGGCUUGAAUCUGGCAGAGGGGGGUAGAAUUCCACGUGUAGCAGUGAAAUGCGUAGAGAUGUGGAGGAACACCGAUGGCGAAGGCAGCCCCCUGGGUCAAGAUUGACGCUCAUGCACGAAAGCGUGGGGAGCAAACAGG